AACGAACGCUGGCGGCAGGCUUAACACAUGCAAGUCGAACGCCCCGCAAGGGGAGUGGCAGACGGGUGAGUAACGCGUGGGAAUCUACCCAGUUCUACGGAAUAACCCAGGGAAACUUGGACUAAUACCGUAUACGCCCUACGGGGGAAAGAUUUAUCGGAAUUGGAUGAGCCCGCGUAAGAUUAGCUAGUUGGUGGGGUAAUGGCCUACCAAGGCGACGAUCUUUAGCUGGUCUGAGAGGAUGAUCAGCCACACUGGGACUGAGACACGGCCCAGACUCCUACGGGAGGCAGCAGUGGGGAAUAUUGGACAAUGGGCGCAAGCCUGAUCCAGCCAUGCCGCGUGAGUGAUGAAGGCCUUAGGGUUGUAAAGCUCUUUCAGUGGGGAAGAUAAUGACGGUACCCACAGAAGAAGCCCCGGCUAACUUCGUGCCAGCCGCCGCCGUAAUAC
rnacentral:rRNA from 1 species